rnacentral:rRNA from 1 species
CCUACGGGUGGCAGCAGUGAGGAAUAUUGGUCAAUGGGCGGAAGCCUGACCCAGCCAAGUCGCGUGAGGGAAGACGGUCCUCUGGAUUGUAAACUUCUUUUGUCGGGGAGCACAUGCCGCUACGCGUGGCGUUUCGAGAGUACCCGAAGAAUAAGACUCGCCUAACUCCGUGCCCGCAGCCGAGGUACUACGGAGGAUGCGAGCGUUCUCCGGCUGUAUUGGGUUUAACGGGUGCGCAGGCGGAAGAUCAAUUCAGCGGUAAAAUUGAGAGGCUCAACCUGUUCGAGCUGUUGAUACUGGUUUGCUUGAGUGAGCGAGAAGUAUGCGGAAUGCGUGGUGUAGCGGUGAAAUGCAUAGAUAUCACGAAGAACUCCGAUUGCGAAGGCAGCAUGCCGGCGCUCAACUGACGCUCAUGCACGAAAGUGUGGGUAUCGAACAGGAUUAGAUACCCCUGUAGUC